GAUGAAGAACGGCAGCGAAAUGCGAUACGUAGUGUGAAUUGCAGAAUUCAGUGAAUCAUCGAAUCUUUGAACGCACAUUGCACCUCUCGGUAUUCCGGGAGGUAUGCCUGUUCGAGCGUCAUUUGUACCCUCAAGCUCUGCUUGGUGUUGGGUGUUUGUUCCGCCUCUGUGUGUGAACUCGCCUCAAAACAAUUGGCAGCCGGCGUACUUGUUUCGGAGCGCAGCACAUUUUGCGAUCCAGAUCAACGUACAGCGGCAUCCAAGAAGCCUUAUUUAACGCUCUUGACCUCGGAUCAGGUAGGGAUACCCGCUGAACUUAAGCAUAUCAAUAAGCGGAGGA
rnacentral:misc_RNA from 1 species